GAUGAACGCUGGCGGCGUGCUUAACACAUGCAAGUCGAACGGUGAACGAGGGAGCUUGCUCCCUCCGGAUCAGUGGCGAACGGGUGAGUAACACGUGAGCAAUCUGCCCUGGACUCUGGGAUAAGCGUUGGAAACGACGUCUAAUACCGGAUACGAGACGCGAAGGCAUCUUCAGCGUCUGGAAAGAACUUCGGUCAGGAUGAGCUGGCGGCCUAUCAGGUAGUUGGUGAGGUAACGGCUCACCAAGCCUACGACGGGUAGGCGGCCUGAGAGGGUGACCGGCCACACUGGGACUGAAACACGGCCCAGACUCCUACGGGAGGAAGCAGUGGGGAAUAUUGCACAAUGGGCGCAAGCCUGAUGCAGCAACGCCGCGUGAGGGACGACGGCCUUCGGGUUGUAAACCUCUUUUAGCAGGGAAGAAGCGAAAGUGACGGUACCUGCAGAAAAAGCACCGGCUAACUACGUGCCAGCCGCCGCUGUAACAC
rnacentral:rRNA from 1 species